rnacentral:tRNA from 1 species
AGCUUUAUAUUCAAUUAUGAUAUAAAAUUGCAAAUUUUAUGGUAUAGUAGUAUAAUACUAUUAAGGCUU